rnacentral:rRNA from 1 species
GACGAACGCUGGCGGCGUGCUUAACGCAUGCAAGUCGAACGGAAAGGCCCUGCUUUUGUGGGGUGCUCGAGUGGCGAACGGGUGAGUAACACGUGAGUAACCUGCCCUUGACUUUGGGAUAACUUCAGGAAACUGGGGCUAAUACCGGAUAGGAGCUCCUGCUGCAUGGUGGGGGUUGGAAAGUUUCGGCGGUUGGGGAUGGACUCGCGGCUUAUCAGCUUGUUGGUGGGGUAGUGGCUUACCAAGGCUUUGACGGGUAGCCGGCCUGAGAGGGUGACCGGCCACCUUGGGACUGAGAUACGGCCCAGACUCCUACGGGAGGCAGCAGUGGGGAAUAUUGCACAAUGGGCGGAAGCCUGAUGCAGCAACGCCGCGUGCGGGAUGACGGCCUUCGGGUUGUAAACCGCUUUCGCCUGUGACGAAGCGUGAGUGACGGUAAUGGGUAAAGAAGCACCGGCUAACUACGUG